AUUGAACGCUGGCGGCAUGCUUUACACAUGCAAGUCGAACGGCAGCAUGGGUGCUUGCACCUGAUGGCGAGUGGCGAACGGGUGAGUAAUGUAUCGGAACAUAUCCGCAAGUGGGGGAUAACGUAGCGAAAGUUACGCUAAUACCGCAUAUUCCCUGAGGGGGAAAGGAGGGGAUCCGCAAGGACCUUUCGCUUACGGAGUGGCCGAUAUCAGAUUAGCGAGUUGGUGAGGUAAAGGCUCACCAAGGCUUCGAUCUGUAGCGGGUCUGAGAGGAUGAGCCGCCACACUGGGACUGAGACACGGCCCAGACUCCUACGGGAGGCAGCAGUGGGGAAUUUUGGACAAUGGGGGCAACCCUGAUCCAGCCAUGCCGCGUGAGUGAAGAAGGCCUUCGGGUUGUAAAGCUCUUUCAGCUGGAAAAAAAUCGCUUCACCUAAUACGUGGAGUGGAUGAUGGUACCAGCAGAAGAAGCACAGGCUAACUACGUGCCAGCCGCCGCAGUAA
rnacentral:rRNA from 1 species